rnacentral:rRNA from 1 species
AUUGAACGCUGGCGGCAGGCUUAACACAUGCAAGUCGAACGGUAGCAGGAGAAAGCUUGCUUUCUGCCGACGGGGGGGGGACGGGGGGGUAAAUGUUGGUAACUUGGCUUUAGGAAGGGGGUAACUUAGGGAAACCGUAGCCAAUACCGGCUAAUAUUUUUCGAAUUAAGGAUUGGAACUUUAAGCAAUUCCCGAUAAGAUUAGCCCAGUGGGAUUAGGUAGUUGGUGGGGUAAAGGCCUACCAAGCCGACGAUCUCUAGCUGGUCUGAGAGGAUGAACAGCCACACUGGAACUGAGACACGGUCCAGACUCCUACGGGAGGCAGCAGUGGGGAAUAUUGCGCAAUGGGGGCAACCCUGACGCAGCCAUGCCGCGUGAAUGAAGAAGGCCUUCGGGUUGUAAAGUUCUUUCGGUGGUGAGGAAGGAUAAUAUGUUAAUAGCAUAUUAGAUUGACGUUAGCCACAGAAGAAGCACCGGCUAACUCCGUG